CCCCUUGAGGAUUCCGAUGUUGUCUCCUACAUCCUUGACGGACUCGGUGCUGACUAUGAUCCUCUAGUCACUUCGAUUACAACUCGAUCUGACCCGUUUUCCUUGAUUGAUUUGUAUGGUUUUCUUUUAUCCUAUGAGC